rnacentral:sRNA from 12 species
GCCCUCGUCGUGUCCGGUAGCAGUAAUGCCCGGGUGGCCAGCUUAACAGCCAUAGGAGCACGUAACGAGGGCUU